rnacentral:ncRNA from 1 species
UUCUUCGGGGCAGGGUGUAAUUCCCUACCGGCGGUAAGAGUCCGCGACCCGCGAUAAGCGGCUGAUCCGGUGAAAUUCCGGAACCGACAGUAUAGUCUGGAUGAGAGAAGAA